GGUUGUGUAGUGUAGUGGUUAUCACUUUGGUUUUUGAAGCACUUUAUCUACCAAUAACCCCAGUUCGAACCUGGGCACGACCU